rnacentral:rRNA from 1 species
GGGGGGAGCAAGCGUUGUUCGGAUUUACUGGGCGUAAAGGGCGCGUAGGCGGCCAGCACAAGUCAGUUGUGAAAUCUCCGAGCUUAACUCGGAAAGGUCAACUGAUACUGUGCGGCUAGAGUGCGGAAGGGGCAACUGGAAUUCUUGGUGUAGCGGUGAAAUGCGUAGAUAUCAAGAGGAACACCUGCGGCGAAGGCGGGUUGCUGGGCCGACACUGACGCUGAGGCGCGAAAGCCAGGGGAGCGAACGGGAUUAGAUACCCCGGUAGUCCUGGCCUUAAACGAUGAAUGCUUGGUGUCUGGGGUUAUAAAGUCCCCGGGUGCCGUCGCUAACGCUUUAAGCAUUCCGCCUGGGGAGUACGGUCGCAAGACUG